rnacentral:rRNA from 1 species
GACGAACCGUGCGAACGUUGUUCGGAAUCACUGGGCUUAAAGGGCGCGUAGGCGGGCUGCCAAGUCAGGGGUGAAAGCCCACGGCUCAACCGUGGAAGUGCCUUUGAUACUGAGAAGCUUGAGUCCGGGAGAGGUGAGUGGAACUGCGAGUGUAGAGGUGAAAUUCGUAGAUAUUCGCAAGAACACCAGUGGCGAAGGCGGCUCACUGGCCCGGUACUGACGCUGAGGUGCGAAAGCGUGGGGAGCAAACAGG